rnacentral:rRNA from 1 species
CCGGGAAUCUACAUUCAAUAAGCGGAGGAAAAGAAACUAACAAGGAUUCCCCUAGUAACUGCGAGUGAAGCGGGAAAAGCUCAAAUUUAAAAUCUGGCAGUCUCUGAUUGUCCGAGUUGUAAUCUAGAGAAGCAUUAUCCGCGCUGGACCGUGUACAAGUCUCCUGGAAUGGAGCGUCAUAGAGGGUGAGAAUCCCGUCUUUGACACGGACUGCCAGGGCUUUGUGAUGUGCUCUCAAAGAGUCGAGUUGUUUGGGAAUGCAGCUCAAAAUGGGUGGUAAAUUCCAUCUAAAGCUAAAUAUUGGCGAGAGACCGAUAGCGAACAAGUACCGUGAGGGAAAGAUGAAAAGAACUUUGGAAAGAGAGUUAAACAGUACGUGAAAUUGCUGAAAGGGAAACGCUUGAAGUCAGUCGCGUUGGCCGGGAAUCAACCUUGCUUUUGCUGGGCGUACUUCCUGGUCAACGGGUCAGCAUCAAUUUUGACCGUUGGAUAAAGUUUCUGGGAAUGUGGCAUCUUCGGAUGUGUUAUAGCCUAGAUUCGUAUACAACGGUUGGGAUUGAGGAACUCAGCACGCCGCAAGGCCGGGUUUUUAACCACGUUCGUGCUUAGGAUGCUGGCAUAAUGGCUUUAAUCGACCCGUCUUGAAACACGGACCAAGGAGUCUAACAUGCCUGCGAGUGUUUGGGUGGAAAACCCGAGCGCGUAAUGAAAGUGAAAGUUGAGAUCCCUGUCGUGGGGAGCAUCGACGCCCGGACUUGAACUUCUGUGACGGAUCCC